rnacentral:tRNA from 1 species
CCUGGUGGCUCAGACGGUAAAGCGUCUGCCUGCAGUGCAGGAGAUCCAGGUUCAAUCCCUGGGUCAGGA